CCUACGGGAGGCAGCAGUGGGGAAUAUUGCACAAUGGGGGAAACCCUGAUGCAGCGACGCCGCGUGAGCGAAGAAGUAUUUCGGUAUGUAAAGCUCUAUCAGCAGGGAAGAAAAAAAUGACGGUACCUGAGUAAGAAGCACCGGCUAAAUACGUGCCAGCAGCCGCGGUAAUACGUAUGGUGCAAGCGUUAUCCGGAUUUACUGGGUGUAAAGGGAGCGUAGGCGGCGCGUUAAGUCUGAUGUGAAAACCCGAGGCUCAACCACGGGAGUGCAUUGGAAACUGGCGGGCUGGAGUGCCGGAGAGG
rnacentral:rRNA from 1 species